rnacentral:rRNA from 1 species
AGCGAACGUUUGCGGCGGGCCUAACACAUGCAAGUCGAACGCACUAGCAAUAGUGAGUGGCGCACGGGUGCGUAACACGUGGGUAAUCAACCCUUCAGCUUGGGAUAACGACUUGAAAGGGUCGCUAAUACCGGAUACGGCGCGGGAGGCUUCGGCUUCUCACGAGAAAGCCUCGCAAGGGGCACUGAAGGACGAGCCUGCGGCCCAUCAGCUAGUUGGUGAGGUAAGAGCUCACCAAGGCGAAGACGGGUAGCUGGUCUGAGAGGAUGAUCAGCCACACUGGAACUGAGACACGGUCCAGACUCCUACGGGAGGCAGCAGUGGGGAAUAUUGCGCAAUGGGCGAAAGCCUGACGCAGCCACGCCGCGUGAGCGAUGAAGGCCUCGGGUCGUAAAGCUCUGUGGGGAGGAGACGAAGAAAGACCCGUGAAGAGCGGGCC